GUCUAUGGCCAUACCACAUUGAACGCGCCAGAUCUUGUCUGAUCUCGUAAGCUAAGCAGGGUCGGACCUGGUUAUUACUUGGAUGGGAGAACUAAGAUUUCUAAAGGGAUAUAAGAGAGACUCUAGUAUGCUAUAUGCU
rfam:Myotis brandtii contig209133, whole genome shotgun sequence.